GACGAACGCUGGCGGCGUGCUUAACACAUGCAAGUCGAACGGAAAGGCCCUGCUUUUGUGGGGUGCUCGAGUGGCGAACGGGUGAGUAACACGUGAGUAACCUGCCCUUGACUGUGGGAUAACUUCAGGAAACUGGGGCUAAUACCGGAUAGGAGCUACUGCUGCAUGGUGGGGGUGGGAAAGAUUCGGCGGUUGGGGCUGGACUCGCGGCUUAUCAGCUUGUUGGUGGGGUAGUGGCUUACCAAGGCUUUGACAGGUAGCCGGCCUGAGCGGGUGACCGGCCACAUUGCGCCUGAGAUGCGGCCCAGACUCCUACGGGACGCAGCAGUGGAGAAUAUUACACAAUGGGCGGAAGCCAGAUGUAGCACCGCCGCGUGCGGGAUGACGGCCUUCGGGUUGUAAACCACUUUCGCCUGUGACGAAGCGUGAGUGACGGUAAUGGGUAAAGAAGCACCGGCUAACUACGUG
rnacentral:rRNA from 1 species